GAUGAACGCUGGCGGCGUGCCUAAUACAUGCAAGUCGAGCGAACCGACGAGGAGCUUGCCCCUUUGACGUUAGCGGCGGACGGGUGAGUAACACGUGGGUAACCUACCUCUCAGACUGGGAUAUCUUCGGGAAACCGGAGCUAUUACCGGAUAAUAUUUCGAACCGCCUGGUUCGAUAGUGAAAGAUGGCUUUGCUCUCACUUAUAGAUGGACCUACGCCGUAUUAGCUAGUUGGUAAGGUAACGGCUUACCAAGGCAACGAUGCGUAGCCGACCUGAGAGGGUGAGCGGGCACACUGGAACUGAGAGACGGUGCAGACUCCUACGGGAGGCAGCAGUGGGGAAUCUUCCGCAAUGGGCGAAAGCCUGACGGAGCAACGCCGCGUGAGUGAUGAAGGUCUGCGGAUCGUAAAACUGUGUUAUUAGGGAAGAAGAAACGAGUAAGUAACUGGGCACGUCUUGACGGUACCGGAUAAGAAAGCGACGGCUAACUACGUG
rnacentral:rRNA from 1 species